rnacentral:rRNA from 1 species
CAGUAGCCACGGGAAUACAGAGGGUGCGAGCGUUAAUCGGAUUUACUGGGCGUAAAGCGUGCGUAGGCGGCUUUUUAAGUCGGAUGUGAAAUCCCUGAGCUUAACUUAGGAAUUGCAUUCGAUACUGGGAAGCUAGAGUAUGGGAGAGGAUGGUAGAAUUCCAGGUGUAGCGGUGAAAUGCGUAGAGAUCUGGAGGAAUACCGAUGGCGAAGGCAGCCAUCUGGCCUAAUACUGACGCUGAGGUACGAAAGCAUGGGGAGCAAACAGGAUUAGAUACCCGCGUAGUCCCUGUCUCUUAUAU